GAAGACCUGGAACAGGUACCUUGUGGAUAUGAGCUGGCCAUGCGUGCUCACAGCCCAGAGUACCAACUGUAUCCUGGGCUGCAUCAGAAGAAGGGUGGCCAGCAGGUCGUUUAUCCUCCUCUUGUGAGAUGCCACCUGGAGUACUGCAUCCAGGCCUGGGGUCCCCAGCACAGGAAGGAUAUAGAUCUGUUGGAAAGGAGGUGCCAAUAAAAGCAAACUACCCAUCAAAAUGAUACUGAUACAGACUGUUAUGUGAGGGAUGCAUUACAAUUUUACCUCUCUUUUAUAAGGCAUAUCUUGGCUCCCCAUGAGAUGAACAACUGAAUCCUGUGUAUUCUGACUGAGGCAGUUCAGAAGGUCACUAAUCAGGAUUUCUUGGCCACAUAGGAAUAUAGC